rnacentral:rRNA from 1 species
UACGUAGGCAGCGAGCGUUGUUCGGAGUUACUGGGCGUAAAGAGUGCGUAGGCAGUUUUCUAAGUUUGGUGUGAAAUCUCCCGGCUCAACUGGGAGGGUGCGCCGAAGACUGGAAGGCUUGAGUAUGGGAGAGGUAAGCGGAAUUCCUGGUGUAGCGGUGAAAUGCGUAGAUAUCAGGAGGAACACCUGCGGUGUAGACGGCUUACUGGACCAUAACUGACGCUGAGGCACGAAAGCGUGGGUAGCAAACAGG